rnacentral:rRNA from 1 species
UACGUAGGUGGCAAGCGUUGUCCGGAUUUAUUGGGUUUAAAGGGUGCGUAGGUGGUCUAUUAAGUCAGUGCUGAAAUAUCCCGGCUUAACCGGGAGGGUGGCAUUGAUACUGAUGGACUUGAGCGGAGUCGAGGUAGGCGGAAUUGACGGUGUAGCGGUGAAAUGCUUAGAUAUCGUCAAGAACACCGAUAGUGAAGACAGCUUACCAAGCUUCAACUGACGCUGAGGCACGAAAGUGUGGGGAUCAAACAGG